AACGAACGCUAGCGGCAUGCCUCAAACAUGCAAGUCGUACGCGAAAGGGGGCAACUCCGAGUAAAGUGGCGCACGGGUGCGUAACACGUAGCUAACGUACCCUUUCGCUGGGGAUAACUCCGGGAAACCGGAGCUAAUACCGAAUGAACUGUCACGGUCUGUGGACUGUGUCGGUAAAGCCGCAAGGCGCGAAAGGAGCGGGCUGCGGUCCAUUAGCUUGUUGGUGGGGUAAUGGCCUACCAAGGCUGCGAUGGAUAGCUGGUCUGAGAGGAUGAUCAGCCACACUGGAACUGAAACACGGUCCAGACUCCCACGGGAGGCAGCAGUUGGGAAUAUUGGACAAUGGGGGAAACCCUGAUCCAGCAAUGCCGCGUGAGUGAUGAAGGCUUUCGGGUCGUAAAGCUCUUUCAGCGGGGAAGAAGGGCAACUUGACGGUACCCGCAGAAGAAGCACCGGCUAACUCCGUGCCAGCAGCCGCGGUAAUACGGAGGGUGCAAGCGUUGUUCGGAAUUAUUGGGCGUAAAGCGCGUGUAGGCGGCCAUUUAAGUCUGAUGUGAAAGCCCGGGGCUUAACCCCGGAAGUGCAUUGGAUACUGGAUGGCUAGAGGACGAGAGAGGGAAGUGGAAUUCCUGGUGUAGGGGUGAAAUCCGUAGAUAUCAGGAGGAACAUCGGAGGCGAAGGCGGCUUCCUGGCUCGUAACUGACGCUGAGACGCGAAAGCGUGGGUAGCAAACAGGAUUAGAUACCCUGGUAGUCCACGCCCUAAACGAUGGAUACUAGUUAUCGGGAUUCCUAAUAGUCUCGGUGGCGUAGCUAACGCAUUAAGUAUCCCGCCUGGGGAUUACGGUCGCAAGAUUAAAACUCAAAGGAAUUGACGGGGGCCCGCACAAGCGGUGGAGCAUGUGGUUUAAUUCGAUGCUACGCGAAAAACCUUACCUGGGUUUGACAUCCCGGGCUACCCUGGGAAACCAGGGGUUCUCUUCGGAGACCCGGUGACAGGUGCUGCAUGGCUGUCGUCAGCUCGUGUUGUGAGAUGUUGGGUUAAGUCCCGCAACGAGCGCAACCCUCGCCGUUAGUUACCAUCAUUAAGUUGGGCACUCUAACGGGACCGCUAGGCUAUAAGCCAGAGGAAGGUGGGGAUGACGUCAAGUCCUCAUGGCCCUUAUGUCCAGGGCUACACACGUGCUACAAUGGAAGCUACAAUACGCUGCUAACUCGCAAGAGCAUGCUAAUCGUAAAAAAGCUUUCUCAGUUCGGAUUGGAGUCUGCAACUCGACUCCAUGAAGUUGGAAUCGCUAGUAAUCGUGGAUCAGAACGCCACGGUGAAUACGUUCCCGGGCCUUGUACACACCGCCCGUCACACCAUGGGAGUUGGUUGUACCGGAAAACAUUGAGCUAACCUUCGGGAGGCAAGCGUUUAUGGUAUGGCCGAUGACUGGGGUG
rnacentral:rRNA from 1 species